CACGUAGGGCGCAAGCGUUGUCCGGAAUUAUUGGGCGUAAAGAGCUCGUAGCGGUCUGUUGCGUCCGCUGUGAAAACUCGGGGCUUAACCCCGAGCCUGCAGUGGAUACGGGCAGACUAGAGGUAGGUAGGGGAGAAUGGAAUUCCCGGUGUAGCGGUGAAAUGCGCAGAUAUCGGGAGGAACACCGGUGGCGAAGGCGGUUCUCUGGGCCUUACCUGACGCUGAGGAGCGAAAGCGUGGGGAGCGAACAGG
rnacentral:rRNA from 1 species